rnacentral:rRNA from 1 species
UACGUAGGGUGCAAGCGUUGUCCGGAAUUAUUGGGCGUAAAGAGCUCGUAGGCGGUUUGUCGCGUCUGCUGUGAAAUCCCAGGGCUUAACCCUGGGCCUGCAGUGGGUACGGGCAAACUAGAGUGCGGUAGGGGAGAUCGGAAUUCCCGGUGUAGCGGUGAAAUGCGCAGAUAUCGGGAGGAACACCGGUGGCGAAGGCGGUUCUCUGGGCCUGUACUGACGCUGAGGAGCGAAAGCGUGGGGAGCGAACAGG